AUGCAUGGCCUUCAGCUAUUCAUACACAUGUUACAGUGUCGACAUCAGAUAAAUAUUUAUUUAAUGAUAAAGGUUAUGAAUUUAAAUUCUGUGCUCUCAUACCAAAAUUUCAUUUCAAUUCUUGGAGUCCUAUGGGAGUCACAGAGUAGAUGUCUGUUAGUGCUAUGGAAAUAGUAAGGUCAAAGUAAGACUAGCCAGAUCAGUGGUGCACACCUGUAAUCCUGGCCCUCAGGCUGAACUAUGUAGGGAGAGCCUGUCUCAAAACAAAACAAAACAAGGAUAAAGGAGUCCCUUUUAAUCACUUGUCCCCAGUGACCUCUCUCCUGCUUCUCACCCUCAGGAACCCAGGUGCUUCGAAGCUAUUGUUUGUCCUCUGCUACUCAUGGCAAGGCCUUGCACCACCACUUAAGCCAUGUACUAAGGAGUCCAGCCUUUCCUGGAAGAGCCCAUUCAUCUUUUGUAAUAUACAUUAACAAGAAUAAGUGAUUUCUUAUGCUGAGCUAAAUAUCUGUCUCUUUUUGGCUCCUAAGCUCAGCUGUGAACUUCUGGGGGUCAUUCUGUCCCCACCCUUUGCCCUGCCUGAUAAGCCAUAAGUGUUCGUAGAACAAUGAGCAGCUGGACAGGGUCCCAGAUGUAAACACAGCAGGCAGUGGGCUGCCCAUACCAAUCACAGACAUGGUGAGAAAAAAAGGAGGAAAUCAAGGGAGUCAGGAAAAAAAAGGGGAGCAGAUUCUGGAGGAGGUGACGAGUCCAAAUUCAAACCUUAGUGGAACCAAGAAGGAAGUGAUAAAACCUAAAAAAUAAAUGAAAUCAUUUCCGGUGAGUAUCCAGCGGAAGGGAGUAAUGAGAUUAUAGCUCAAGCAGUUAUGCUGAUCAAGCUAUAAAUAGGCCAGCAGGAUUGUGACUAUAAUGUUACUUAAAGGAAAAUAGAGGGUGCCGUCAUGCUGGUUAACCAGAGAAGGAGUGGGAAUGUGAACUUGGCAUGAAUGACUUACAAGGAAAUAAAAUAAGAUUGUUCAGGGCGAAGGAGAGAAUGUCGCCAGCAGUUGGCCUGAAUCUGAGACCUAGCCCAGGGCAGGUGUGGUGGACAUCUGCAUCUUGCUGCUUCCCAGAGAAGUGGUUCUGUUUCCCUGAGACCAAAAUCCCUGCAAAGGUGUCAGAUGAUGGAAUUAGAGCUUCCUGCUAAUUUUCAACAAGCCGAGUACCUGGUCAGGCUGACUUAUUGGAAGACUGCAUGGAUCGAUUGAUGGAUGGUUAGAAAAAGCAUCACAGAGAGGAUUUUACUGUCAGCUAAUGACAAUGCAGGCUGCCUAAUCAUCAUUUCCUGUCUCUUAGCUGGGCUUGCAGCUGUCAGGGUUCCAGGGAAAGGAGCUCUGAGAAGAAUCUAAAGGACACUUCCCCAAGAUGGGUUUCCAGGACAUACGAGGCUGGCACUCAGCAGGAGCAGUCAUCUGUCCAUCUGUCCCAGUCUAGACCCUGGCAGUGCUAGCUGUGGGGGGCCCUGCAGGGUGCUGCAUCACAUUUUCAGAGGCCUUGGCUCUGGGUAUCUCACUCAGUUCUGCAAGGCCUCCAAGAGCAGUAACUCAACUGGAGGACAUGAAUGACAGAUGGCAACAGUGUCACUAGAGGGUUUGGCUCUUCAGUUCAGGCUGGACUUCAACUCACUUUGUAGCCCAGGUGGCCCCAUGAAUUCACAACCAUCCCCUGCCUCAGCCUCCCAAGUGCUGGGACAGCAGGCAUGCACCACCAUGCCCAGCUUCUCGCCACUUUCUACAGCGGUUCUGGAAGUCCUCUUUCACAUCCUUAUGAGAUGUGAUCAAAAAUACGGUGAAUGCAGAUAUUGUGUAUCGUCCAGUAGAAAAGCAGAUUCGUAAAACAUUACCGUGUGUCCUCCACACCCUGUGCACUGGACCUGGCACCGUGUGACUUCUGGCUCUUCCCACACUCAAAACCACCAUGAAAGAGAAAUAUUGGAAAUCUUUUUGAGACAUCAAGAUAACCAAGACAGCAGCACAACUAAAGAUACAAAAAAUGUCCAGGACCGCUUCAGAAAGUAGCACCAUUUUUGGAAUGAGUGUUCAAGGAAAGUAUUUCUGAGGAGAUUAAAGGCAACAUGCAUUUUACUGUUCAAGAGGGUUUUUUCAGUAUGUUUUCACUGUAUUCUUUGAUCAUACUUUGAGAAUUAGAGAAAUCAAAAUUCAAAGAAGUUUCUUCUCAAAAAAUCAACCUAUGUAAUUCUCUUAUUUAGGUAAUAACAAGGCAGAGGGCAGACAGAUUUAUUGUUUUUUCAGACAUAUAUAGCAUCAGAAUGAAUUUAACCCAGAUCCUCUGUUCUGAUUUGUGACCAAGGAUCAUCAACCUGUUGUAAAAUGAAAAAUAGGACAAUUUAGAAUACUUUCUAAAUGUGAAUCAGUUCAACUUAAAGAAUCAUCCUUUAUCUCAAGGUUUGUGCCUUUUAAGGCCUUCUACUUUUUUUUUUUUUUUUUUUUUUUUGCAAUUAAAAUCUUGCCUCUGUUAGGCAAUAAUGACCCCAGAUGUAUUUGGAGUUUUGGGGGUUUUCUUAAUGCCCUGAUUUUGGCAAUCCUAAAGCAAUUCAUCACCACUGUCCCUUUUUUUUCAAAUAAACAAACGUCUGAGAACAGCAAAAUAGAACACCUGUUUCCAAAUAGAGCAAGGCAGGAGUCACAGGCAGGCCUGCUGGGAGAAAGAGAUGGAGGGAGCCACUCCAGGUUACCUUCAUAAACAAGCAGCCAAAGCCCGGCCAGGCUCCUCCAGAAUCCCCCUCCUCCUGCUCUUCACUCCUUCAUCUCCCAGUGAAUCAGAACCUUCUGGAGUCCUUGGGCCUGACUCUUACACGUGGCCUCCCUGGGUCACCACGCACGUGGCCAGCAUGGGUGGGAAGGAGACUCUUGCUGGCUGGGCCCUACCUUAGAAUGCAAAGGGCUUGGGUAUUAUUUCUGCACUAAUCUUAAGCUCUUUGCUUCAGGAAAGAAUGUGAAGAUCCAAGGGAAGACUUUUAGAACACAAAAGGAGCUAAACUCAAUGUUUCUCUGCUCUGUUAUUAACCCCUCGCUCGCUCCUGCUCGUAGGGAAGGGGAGGCCCAGUGACUAGAAAGGUUUCGUCAGGCCCCAGUGAGUCUCUACCGCAAUGUCCUGGAAGACCAGUUGGACCAGACCAUUCAGAUUCCGGCUUAUACUUAACAGAGGCCUCUGAAGCUCUCAAAGGAUUAAUGUGAAGGUGUACCCCGGGCUCUCCAUCCUGGGGGCUCCUCAGCUGCCAGCUCACCCGUUACAGCAAGGAGGAUGUGAUGGGUUUUGAAAGAGGAAGGAGGCAGUGAGAAGUUCAGAGAUCUGAAAACGUUUUCAAGGGAAAAGGAAACCAAAACAGGAAAGAAAUAUGUGGUCAACACUUAUCGGUAUAUCCUCCUUUUGGGUUGAAUUUCUUUUCAUCCAUUGCUCAGCCUAGCGAUUAUGUAAGCGACAGAGUCAGAGGACACUAUGAGGGCAAAGGACACAUUUCUGGGUCCUUAGCCUGUUGCUAUGAAAAAGCAUGAUCCGCAUCUUCUUCUAGGGCAAUCAGAAACUGAAAAGUGGUUUUUUUUGGGCUAAAACCUAUGACUCUGCGCUUGGGUGUCCAAAUGCCUAUCUCAUCUAAUCAAGAUCAGAACAAAUGGGGGCUGGGGAUUUAGCUCAGCGGCAUAAGCGCCUACCUUGCAAGCAGGCAGUCAUGAGUUGGAUCCCCGGGACCGAUAAAAAGGAAAAAGACAAAAAAAAAUCAGAACAAAUUUGCCUUCUUCUUUGUAGGCUUUAUUAUCUUAGAACAUUUGAUUAGACAUUAUGUAAUUUUCAGGAAUCAGCUGGACAUUCAUUCAAUUGCCAGACUUCACAUCUGGCUCCAGAUCCUAGCCCCUCAGAGUGAUACCUAGAGGUUUCCAGCAUUGUCUCCAAUCUUUAGUCACCUGGGACUCAGGAAAAGCAGACUGAAAGCCUCGAAGACAGAGGUAACCAUGGAGGCUCCCCAGACCCCAGCCUACCUCCAUACUAGAUCCCUUGCUUCUGCAGCGGGUCAGUCUGAACCCCUAUGUCAGAAUAUGGAGUGCUUCCCUGGCUUCAUUUUUACUGUUCAAACAAAUCAAAUUCACCAUGGUUUAAUUUUAAUUUUCAUUAGCACUAAAAGUAAAGCCCCACACUAACCAGUGACAGGGACCAGACGGUUUUCACUGGGGAGGACUGCUCUGGUAAGGUCGCAUCUGGCCGAGGACCAGGCUGCCUCUGCCUCUGGACUAUGGUUUGGACAAUUUCAGGAGUGCUGGCUGCAGAGAGGAGGGAGGGGCCCGACAGGGACCAGGAUGCUGUGUGAUAUAUCAAUUACGAGGCCCUUGGGUGCUUUCUGGUUCCAUCUGCACAAUGCCACAUGGGCUUGUUUGACAGAGCAGGAAGCAGCUGCUCGGAGCAGUCAGGGUGCUUGCCCCAGGUCACGGGAUUAAAGAGGACAGAACCAGCUCUGUGUAAUCCAGGGUCAGUCUGGCACUUGAAGCAGCUCCUUCUGUCUCCUUAGUGAUCUUUUCUCAAAAUCAGGCUUCAAGCUACCUGGCUAACACCUGGGGGCAUGAGGAUGAGGGGGAUUGUAGUUUUUGAGCCAUAUUGUGACAUCUAGAGAAUCUAAGGGACAAAGAGAAAUAAUCCACUAUGGACACAGAAGGUGGCCUUGACCUGUCCGUACGAGGCUUCCUAUCUCCCUCUGUGUCUAAAGUUCUGAACCAAAAAUCUAUAUAGGACACCAGAGGCCACUCUGGCACAGAAAGAAAGAGCAAAUUUCAUUCAUUAAAAGCAAAUAAACAAAACCCCAAAAACUUGGAUUCCAGAUUGUAACUGUCUGUCCCAGCCAAUGAGCAGGUGAAUGCCGUGAGUUUUACUUUUCUGACAAUUUCUAGAGUUGAGAAACAUUGCUGUUGUACUCAUGACAUCUUGGGUAUGGAACAAUUAUUCAUUCUUUCAUUUCAGGUAAUAUUAACCAGUGUCAAGUAGUUCAUGUUUAGAUAUAUAAAGAGAAAUAUGCCUCAGAAAAUAAAAACACAAUCUGAUAUUUAAGCGUAAGGAAGCAGAAGUGUUAGGGUUGCAACACGUGGCCUUUGCACAGCCCAGGAAAUCCUCUGGCUUCUGCUUCAGGGAUCUGAAGACUGUUUACAUUCCAGUGGAAUUCCUGGGAAAGUCCAGAGCACGACACACUAUGAAAACAAUGGCUUAUGGACAUAAAUUUCCACUGUGUAAUCUGAGACAGGGAGGCAAGGCCAGGAGGGUCCCUGGAUGGGACUGGGCUGGACCAGCAUUCUGUGGGAUCCUUCACCUGUUUGCUGCACCUAAAACUGUUUGGAGGGUAUGUGGACUCCUUCUGGAGAAGCCAAGCUUAGCCAAUCACUGCUGCACCUCUCACUUCCAGGAGCAGCUAUUGCUAAAAAUUUCUGUAAGUUUUCAGAGUGGCAGCCACACCCAGAGUGGGUUAGGCACUUGUAAGAUGUGGGAACCUCCUUGGUUUACUAGGGAGUCUGGAGACAGAGCCAGCCACAGCUAGCCGCAGGCAACACUAAAUCCUUCCUUUUGCAGAACAGGAAAUAGAGGCCCCAGAAAUUCAAUGCAUUAAAGUUCCACAGUGGCAGAGCCAAGGCAGAAAGCCAAGUUUCAUUUACCUACUCAACACAUAUUAAUCAAGCUCUAUCCUGGGUUCCGCUGUCAACUUACACUAACAACGGAGAAGACAGCUUUCAGCAGACUUGAGUUUGAGAAUAAGAGACAUGGGGUUGCUGUCUAUGAUGCACAGGUGAGAACAAGUCACAAGGACAUCUACCGAGAUCCAGGUGAGGGGAAGUUUUCUAAAGAGAAAACCAAGCCCAAAUAAGUUACUCUGAAACAAGGCUCAGAAUGAGGCUUUAUCUGACUGUUUUAGCCUUGAAAAAUUUCUUGUGAUAAGCCUUGUUACAGAAAUUCAUGCAGGCAUGCAGAGUGAGCCAGGUAUGCCUGGGAAAUAAGAUAUCAGCGGCAUGCAAGAUGGGAAGGGUUUAAAACACUCCCAGGAGAGUUCUUAUUCAAACACACAAGCAUGAGUACCCCACGCUCCUCUUCCAUGACUUCCUGACUGCUUUUUCUAUGUUUGACAAGAGUGACUUCAUCUUGGUGUUGGCAACUGUCACGUUCACCUUUCAGGAGGGAAAAAGUAAGGAGUCAAAGAGUGAAAGAGAGAUGGAUUUGGGAGUAAUCUCACCCUCCGAUUGUGUUAUCAACCUCCUGAGAAGGAAAAGCCAUAUUCUUAUUUCUAUCUAGAAGAACACGGAAAUAUCAUUGCUCUGGCCAAGAGUGGCCUUGAGGAGGUGAGCAUGUCACCCAGUCUUAGGCAAGCAAACCUGAAGGAAGCUUGUUACAAGGCUUGGAAGUGUCACUGGGAGCCCAGAGUGUUGUCAAUAGGGACGUGCUGCCUGGAGUGACGGGAGCCUGAGGCUGAGGUCACCAGAGAAGCCAGUGGGGAAAAUCACCUGGGGCCUUGACAUCAUGGAGCCACUGAGACACCAAACUUGGAGGCCCUGCAACAACCCUUAUUGAUAUAAUGCUCACCCAGCAAGUAACUAUUUUAGCAGCAACUUGCUUUAUGGUCAUGGAGUGGGGCAAUCAGAAGGAAGUGCCCUCUUUUUUUUGGACGGAGGUACAACAGUGUGAAGCUGCCCUGGAGAGGAGAGGCCGGAAAAGGAAUGUAAAGAGAGUUAGCCAGUAGGACCCUCACACGAGCAAGCCCAGAAGCGUGUGUGUCCAACAUCUUAACCUUUGAACGUGGGAGGAACACACGGAGCUCACUAAAACUGCAUGCAUGCUUCUGCGGUCUGCAGUGCUAAUAAACAUCUGGAAUCCAGUGGCCAUCACUCUGAGCACCUCUUGGAAUUGCAGAGGCCAAAGUUAACUUGUAUUAAUCUCAUGAUGUUUCAAUAAAUUUAGUAUUAAAUAUUAA